rnacentral:rRNA from 1 species
UACGUAGGGACCGAGCGUUGUCCGGAUUCAUUGGGCGUAAAGAGCUCGUAGGCGGCUGUUCAAGUCGAACGUGAAAACUCGGAGCUCAACUCCGAGCCUGCGUCCGAUACUGGACGGCUAGAGUCUGGUAGGGGGAUCUGGAAUUCCUGGUGUAGCGGUGAAAUGCGCAGAUAUCGGGAAGAACACCCGUGGCGAAGGCGGUC